rnacentral:rRNA from 1 species
AUGUCUCCUGCAUUAUGUACCAUGCCAGUAAAAUUGGCAAAAUUGUCUGGAAUGGGUCCAAUGAGAUUAUUUUUUGACAAGUCCAAUACAUGGAGUUGCUGGAAUUUUAAUAUCUGGUGGGGUAUGAUUCCAUCAAACAUAUUUGAUUAUAAUCGAAGAACAAUGAGAUUUGGCAAGCUCUUGCUUACCCAAGAAGGUAUUCUACCAGAGAAAUUAUUGCCUCCAAGAUCUAGAGUGAUAAGGUUUUUGCAUUUCCUAAGACCCAAAGGAAAGGUUCCUUCGAAAUGGUUAUUGGCUAGGCGUAAACAUACAAGAUUAUUGUUGCAAGUCUUCCAAAAGGGAACUACACCACUGAAAGAAUUGCUAGAAAGAUCCAUGUAUCCCAAACUUGGCAUGUCCCACAAACACUUGGGGAGACCUCCAUCUAAUAAAUUGUUUGAUAGGUCUAGGAAGCUUAAAUAA